AUUGAACGCUGGCGGCAGGCCUAACACAUGCAAGUCGAGCGGAUGAAGGGUGCUUGCUCCUUGCUUCAGCGGCGGACGGGUGAGUAAUGCCUAGGAAUCUGCCUGGUCAUGGGGGAUAACGUCCGGAAACGGGCGCUUAUACCGCAUACGUCCUGAGGGAGAAAGUGGGGGAUCUUCGGACUUCACGCUAUCGGAUGAGCCUAGGUCGGAUUAGCUAGUUGGUGGGGUAAAGGCCUACCAAGGCGACGAUCCGUAGCUGGCCUGAGAGGAUGAUCAGGCACGAUGGAACUGAGACACGGUCCAGACUCCUACGGGAGGCAGCAGUGGGGAAUGUGGGAGAAGGGGCGAAUGCCUGAUCAAGCCAGGCCGCGUGUGUGAAGAAGGUCUUCGGAUUGUAGAACACUUUAAGGUGGGAGGAAGGGCAGUAAGUUAAUACCUUUCUGUUUUGACGGUACCAAGAGAAUAAGCACCGGCUAACUUCGUG
rnacentral:rRNA from 1 species